rnacentral:rRNA from 1 species
UACGUAGGGGGCUAGCGUUGUUCGGAAUUACUGGGCGUAAAGGGCCAGUAGGCGGCCGACUAAGUCCGACGUGAAAUCCCCAGGCUUAACCUGGGAACUGCGUCGGAUACUGGUUGGCUUGAAUUCGGGAGAGGGAUGCAGAAUUCCAGGUGUAGCGGUGAAAUGCGUAGAUAUCUGGAGGAAUACCGGUGGCGAAGGCGGCAUCCUGGACCGACAUUGACGCUGAACGGCGAAAGCUAGGGGAGCAAACGGG